rnacentral:lncRNA from 1 species
UUCUCCCCUACCUCACCUCGCUCAUCAACGCAUCCUUGACCGCUGGCUACGUCCCUUCCGUCUUCAAGAGAGCGAGAGUUGCACCCCUUCUGAAAAAACCUACACUCGAUCCCUCCGAUGUCAACAACUACAGACCUAUCUGCUGCCUUUGAUACCGUGAACCAUCAGAUCCUCCUCUCCAUCCUCUCCGAGCUGGGCAUCUCUGGCACCGCGCACGCUUGGAUUGCGUCCUACCUGACAGGUCGCUCCUACCAGGUGGCGAAUCGCAUCUCUGCAUGUCUGGCAGACAUAUCAGUGUGGAUGACGGAUCACCACCUCAAGCUGAACCUCGGCAAGACGGAGCUGCUCUUCCUCCCGGGGAAGGACUGCCCGUUCCAUGAUCUCGCCAUCACGGUUGACAACUCCCUUGUGUCCUCCUC